GGGGGAUUAGCUCACUUGGUAGAGCGCUCGCUUUGCAUGCGAGAGGCACCGGGAUCGAUACCCGGAUUCUCCA
rnacentral:tRNA from 1 species